rnacentral:rRNA from 1 species
GAUAAACGCUGGCGGCGUGCCUAAUACAUGCAAGUCGAGCGAACGGACGAGAAGCUUGCUUCUCUGAUGUUAGCGGCGGACGGGUGAGUAACACGUGGAUAACCUACCUAUAAGACUGGGAUAACUUCGGGAAACCGGAGCUAAUACCGGAUAAUAUUUUGAACCGCAUGGUUCAAAAGUGAAAGACGGUCUUGCUGUCACUUAUAGAUGGAUCCGCGCUGCAUUAGCUAGUUGGUAAGGUAACGGCUUACCAAGGCAACGAUGCAUAGCCGACCUGAGAGGGUGAUCGGCCACAUUGGAACUGAGACACGGUCCAGACUCCUACGGGAGGCAGCAGUAGGGAAUCUUCCGCAAUGGGCGAAAGCCUGACGGAGCAACGCCGCGUGAGUGAUGAAGGUCUUCGGAUCGUAAAACUCUGUUAUUAGGGAAGAACAUAUGUGUAAGUAACUGUGCACAUCUUGACGGUACCUAAUCAGAAAGCCACGGCUAACUACGUGCCAGCAGCCGCGGUAAUACGUAGGUGGCAAGCGUUAUCCGGAAUUAUUGGGCGUAAAGCGCGCGUANGCGGUUUUUUAAGUCUGAUGUGAAAGCCCACGGCUCAACCGUGGAGGGUCAUUGGAAACUGGAAAACUUGAGUGCAGAAGAGGAAAGUGGAAUUCCAUGUGUAGCGGUGAAAUGCGCAGAGAUAUGGAGGAACACCAGUGGCGAAGGCGACUUUCGGGUCUGUAACUGACGCUGAUGUGCGAAAGCGUGGGGAUCAAACAGGAUUAGAUACCCUGGUAGUCCACGCCGUAAACGAUGAGUGCUAAGUGUUAGGGGGUUUCCGCCCCUUAGUGCUGCAGCUAACGCAUUAAGCACUCCGCCUGGGGAGUACGACCGCAAGGUUGAAACUCAAAGGAAUUGACGGGGACCCGCACAAGCGGUGGAGCAUGUGGUUUAAUUCGAAGCAACGCGAAGAACCUUACCAAAUCUUGACAUCCUUUGACAACUCUAGAGAUAGAGCCUUCCCCUUCGGGGGACAAAGUGACAGGUGGUGCAUGGUUGUCGUCAGCUCGUGUCGUGAGAUGUUGGGUUAAGUCCCGCAACGAGCGCAACCCUUAAGCUUAGUUGCCAUCAUUAAGUUGGGCACUCUAAGUUGACUGCCGGUGACAAACCGGAGGAAGGUGGGGAUGACGUCAAAUCAUCAUGCCCCUUAUGAUUUGGGCUACACACGUGCUACAAUGGACAAUACAAAGGGCAGCGAAACCGCGAGGUCAAGCAAAUCCCAUAAAGUUGUUCUCAGUUCGGAUUGUAGUCUGCAACUCGACUACAUGAAGCUGGAAUCGCUAGUAAUCGUAGAUCAGCAUGCUACGGUGAAUACGUUCCCGGGUCU